UACAGAGACUGCAAGCGUUAUUCGGAUUCACUGGGCGUAAAGGGUGCGCAGGCGGUCGGGUGUGUCAGAUGUGAAAUCCCGAGGCUCAACCUCGGAACUGCGUCUGAAACUACUCGACUAGAGUACUGGAGAGGGUAACGGAAUUCACGGUGUAGCAGUGAAAUGCGUAGAUAUCGUGAGGAACACCAGAGGCGAAGGCGGUUACCUGGACAGUUACUGACGCUGAGGCACGAAAGCGUGGGGAGCAAACAGG
rnacentral:rRNA from 1 species